UGCCACACACUACCUUCCGAGGUUUUUGAAAGUCGUAUGAAUACAGGUGCGUUUGUCCAACAGCUGUGACUUUGCCCGGCUGUCUUUGCAGGAGAAUCCGUAUGGGUGCAUCGUUUCCAGAAACUUGCCUCCAAAUCUGACAAGGAGAAGGCAAAGAUGAAAAAGGAGGAGGAGAAGGCAGAUAAUGAGGCAAAAAAGAGGCUCAAGAAGGAGAUGAAGGAGCAAGAGAAGAAAGACAAAGAGAAGAGACAGAAGAAAGAGAAGGAGCAGAAGAGAGAAAAGGAGGAGAAGAAGAUAGAAGACAGGUCGAGAUCUAUCAGGAUCGGAGAUCGAUUAGUUGGGUCUACGCCCACAUACAGGGGAGAUCGUUCCCGGUGUUUUCUUCACUUCUACUAAAGCUGUGGUUGAAGAAACACCACAUCACUAUGUGAUCAUUUAUCCCUGUUUUCCAGUUGUUGCAGGCCGGUGGUGGUGCUGGUGACCCGGGUGGUGGUGUCCUUCCCUUCUGUGUGCCGUGUCCCUGGGAUUGUGGGUGAUUUCACAUUGUGUGUGUGUGUGUGCUUGCCACGUGUGUUUGAGUGUUUGGUUAUUUUGACUUUAAUAUUUUUUUGCAUUUAGUAGAUUCCCCACUUCCCUCACUAGCUCCUGUCCGCACCUAUAGGCCUCAGUUCCUGAUCCUUAUUCCCUCUUUUUCUUUAUCUUGUGUAUGGCUGGAUUUUGUAGUGUUUUUAUAAUGGUAUUUUUGUA